UCCAACAAAAGAUGUCAAUCUUCAAAAACUGAUAUUGAUAUAUUGAUUUUAAGUGACGCUAUUUUAAGGUAAACGAUACCUUAUGAAUGGCUUUCCAUGUUUGUCCUUUGAGAUUUUAAAAACUAUAAUUAAUUCAGAAGAGCGCAACCUCUAAGUAUUAAAAAAAAAAAAAAAAUCCUAUGGCCAUUUAUAUUAUUGGCUAUAGGUUAAACAGUAUGGCUUAUAAUAAAUAACUAGUAAUAUAUAAAAGGUAGAAAAAGUUUCCCAAAUUUAAUUUAACUUUUCUAAACAAAGCAGCCCUUAUGAAUAUUUUUCCGCACUCAGGUUUUGUUUGUUUAUUUUGACUAGUCUCAGACUCCCGCGUUUAAAUAGCACAACGACGGAGUAAGCAGUUCUUAGAAAGUUGCAGAAUGCUGCUAAUCUUUCUGGAUGUUUCUUAAAAUAGCAGAAUACUUAUAGAUGUUAUUUAAAAAAAGAUAUAAAUUUCAACAUUUGGCUUUAAUGAUUAUAAAACGCAAGCAAGCAGAUAAACAGUAUUCAAGAGAAGAGAACUAUACAGAAUAGAAUAAUAUCAAUGAACAUAUUAUUGUAUUUGAAUCAGUUAUUUCAGAAACCUCGUUAACCAAAUGUUUUUUGAGGCGCAACGCUUAGGGUUAUGUUUGAGUUCAAGAUCUUUUUUGUUUAGCAAUCUAAAAUCAAAGAUUAUUUUUCAAAGAUUUUUUUAAAAUCUUUGAAAAAUGGCCAGAACAUUCUAAUUGUAUUCUUAUAGUAAAAUCUUUACACUAGUUGUAUAUGAUGAUUUACGUUAUUAGAGAGUAGAGCAAAUCAUUGCCUGUUUCUUUACACGGAGUGGGAGGGCACUGUUGCAUUUCGUCCUUUAUCUACAAAUGCAACAAUCAGAUCUGAAAUAACUUGUUUAUAAUGCAACAGGGUUUAACAAAU